rnacentral:lncRNA from 1 species
GUGAUUUUAUAAGGGGAAACCCCUUUCAUUUGGCUUUCAGUCUCUCCUAGCCUACUGUGAUGGAAGAUGUGGCUUUGUUCCUCCUCAGCUUCCGCCAAGAUUGUGAGGCCUCCCCAGCCAUGUGGAACUAUUUACAGACUGGAACAGACUCCCAGGAGGUCCAUUCAUCCAUUCUGCUGCCCCCUCAAAUUCAUGCUGCUCAGAGUAGGACGUGAACCACUCUGGUUAGACAUAAAGACCAAGGUAAGGAAGGUGCUAUGGCCUAAAUAUUUGUGAUCCCUGCAAAAUCCAUAUGUUGAUGUCUAAUCCCCAGUGUGAAGGAAUUAAGAGAGAUGGGGCCACUGGGAAAUGACUAGAUUGUAAAGACUUCAUCCUCAUGAAUAGAAUUCAUGCCCUCAUAAAAGAGACCCCAAAAGGCUAGAGAGCCUGUUCUACUGUAUAGGGAAGCAGAAAGAAGAUGUAAUCUAUGAGGCAGAGAGUGAGCCCUCACCAGACAUAGAUCUUAGACUUCCUAGCCUCUAGAAUGGUAAGAAGUAAAUUGCUGUUGUUUAUAAGUCACCCAGCUUAGGAAAUGUUUGUUACAGCAGCUCUAACAGACUAAGGCAGAAGAGUAUGGGGAGGGUGCAUUAUUG